UACAAGUAAAAAGGAGUUCUUCGCAGGCAAUUUCCAAUGAAGUUGGCCUUUGCAUGUACAGCUCACAAAGUACAAGGCAUGACAAUGGAGUCAGCAGUAGUAUGUUUGAAGCGUGUUUUGAACCUGGAAUGGCCUAUGUUGCACUCAGCCGCACAACCUCACUUAAAGGACUCUACAUCACAGACUUUGAUGAAAGGAAAAUCUAUGCUGAUCCUGCCAUCACAGAUGCACUCAAAAAUAUGAGACAUGCAUCAUUUGAGAAUGCAAGACCACUGUUGCAAUUCUUAAAAUCAGUUGUUCCCACAGUCCCCACGUUGACAAUUAUCCAUCACAAUGCACAAGGUCUCCCAACUCACAUGGAGGACAUGAGAUGCCACCAUGAACUCAGCCUUGCUGAUGUUUUAUGCAUAACAGAAACUCACUUGUCUGGAUCAUCAGUUUCUCCCCGCUUCCAGCUCGAACAGUACAACAUGGCCACACGCAACAGACACGUCUCUUACACAAACCAUACAGACAUGGCAAAGGUAAAUGGCGGUGGAGUUGCAAUGUACUACAAAACAGUUCUUACAGCAGAGUCUCGAAAAUACCUGCAAAAUGUGACUGACCUUGAAUUUGUUGUUAUCAAGGUUGAAUCGCCAGUCACAGCUUUGAUAGCAACUGUAUACAGGCCACCAAAUUACAGCCACGUGAGGUUUUACCACAAAUGCAAUGUCUUUUGGACUCAUUGGAAAUGAUGAAUUGCCAACCAAUUAUUGUUUGUGGAGACUUCAAUGAGGACCUUAUGAGCAGAGGAAAAAACCCAUCCAAGAACUGUUUCAGUCAAGAGGAUAUGCACAACUUAUUACUGCUGCAACUACCGAAAAACACACAUUGAUUGAUCACCUUUACAUAUCACAGCCAAACGCCUGCCUCCAAUCAGGUGUUCUGAAUACAUAUCACAGUUAUCACAACCCCAUUUAUUGUGUAAUUCACUAACACAAAAUGACUGCAAGGUUGUGAGGGAUAUGGACUUGCCAAGUGAUCUUAGUGUCUUUGCAACUGAGCACACUCUACCACCAACAAGGACAGCUCACCAGUGGGAGCUGAUAGAUAAGACUGCUCUCAUCCAUUGAAGAGCUGACCAGAAACGUGAACAGAGAGACUGCAACUGCACCUGAUGGGAUCCCUGCCAUAACAGAUGUGUUCUGUCCAGUGAAGGCAGUGGAGAAGCCCUACACUGAUCUUGAAACUGUGCCACGCUAGUAGAGACCGGCUACAAGGAUGGGCAGCUGUUUUCGCAAAGUCAG